CUGGCCACAAACAACUAAAUAAUCUGUGACUACCACUUCAAUGCCGUCUCCAACAGCACCAUCACCAACGCCACCACCACAUUGAUCACAAAUUAAUCAAUUUAUUGAUCACAACUUUCAAUCAACCAAUAAAAUCAUCACAAAUACUCACACCCCAUCCCACCAGUCCAAAGCAUCGAACUACCGCCAACCACCACCAGUGACAUCGCCCACCACCACCACCACCGACAUCACCACCAGUACUAUCUAUAUCAACAAAAUCACCACAACCUCCAAAUCCAACAACGCCAUUGUCUACCUUCAAUCCAACAAAACUCACAUUCAUUGCCCGCAUCUGCCACCAUUGCCAACAACUGCUACCACUAAACUCAACUCCACCACCAGAUCCACCACCAUGGCCAACAACCGCCAUCCCCAUUCACUGUAUAAGGAUCCUCUGCCAUCACAGCACCGCAACCAUCACAAAUCGUUGUAGGGACCAUCGCCAGCAACCACCACCCCCAUUCACUGAGUGAAAAGCCUCUGCCACCAUAGCACCAUCACAAACUCACACCCACCCAAACCGCAAGAUCUACCACCGCAGCUGUUGCCACAAAAUCGCCAUCACAGAUUUGCGAAGGGAUCUAAUCAAAUACAAGAGAGUAGAUGAAAUGGAGGAGCCAGCAUCGUUGUAUUGGAGAUGGAUGAUGGCGAUGCUUCUUCUAUUAGCUUCACUCCGGCACCGACGGUCUCAUUUUUUUUUCCCUCCCCCGAUUGUU
rnacentral:lncRNA from 1 species